CGUUCCCGGGCCUUGUACACACCGCCCGUCACACCACGAAAGUCGGUAACACCCGAAGCCAGUGGCCCAACCCUUUGGGAGGGAGCUGUCGAAGGUGGGAUCGGCGAUUGGGGUG
rnacentral:rRNA from 1 species